UGCUCGUGAAGGUUUCCACAGAAAGACCCCUUGGUUCUGGCAAAUAGAUCACAAUUACAGGUACCUGGGAGCAUACCGAUGGAGUGAACAAAAUACGAACAGUUAACAUAAUAUAGUCAUAGAUCUUAGGUUGUAACUUGAUCAUGAGCGAAUUUGUUGAUGUUGCACCCACGAAGUAUGGAAAGUGCCAAACAUUGGGAACUACCCGGGGAGGAGUUAGGAGCAGGAACAAGGAGAAGCGAGAACCACUUAAAUGGAGGAUUCUAUUGUAUUUCUGCCUUUGUUCCCCAUAGCAACUGGGGAUCGAAAAGCACCAAAUUUGAUGACUUAUUAAGGGAAAGACGAAGUAAGAGCAUGCUAUUGAAGACAUUGCAACAUAUCGGAAGAGCACAC